UUCAUGUGCUGGGGCACCAUGCCAGUGUUGCAACUGCUGCAGAAGUGAACUGUUUACCUUGUUUCUGAAACCAGUUGUGGACAUCAGAAGGAGCAAGGAGCAAGUAACCACCAAGACACAAGCUGAGAGAGGUGAAAUAAUCACUUAAAUGAAGACAGCAGGGCCCCACAGAGAAGACAGGUAGAUCUACAGUGCUUUAUUACAGUAAUUUAGAAAGAAAUUCCCCUUUUAGCUCUGAAUUCUUUGAAAGGAUGUGAUACAGUACAUUUGUAGUUGUGAGAUGCAGGAAAAUUUAAAACUUGCUAAGUAAGAGGUUACUGAUGGUUUACAGGAGGAGCACUAAUAGCUAAGCCUCUAGAAACCUUGAAGGGAUGGGAUGCCUCUGUGAUUGGAUUUUAGGGAAAAGGAAGAAUUGCUAAGGAAACUAAGUACAUGCUCUUAAAUAAGAUUCA
rnacentral:lncRNA from 1 species